rnacentral:rRNA from 1 species
AGUGGAUGGGGAGCAACCUAGUUGUGCGUGUGUAAAGGUAGUGCCAAGAAAAGCGAUGAUCAUGUUGAAAAUCAAUUCCCGGUACCCGAAACCGACACAGGUGGGCAAGUAGAGAAUACUAAGGGGCGCGAGGUAACUCUCUCCAAGGAACUCGGCAAAAUGACCCCGUAACUUAGGGAGAAGGGGUGCCACCGAGAGGUGGUCGCAGUGAAGAGGCCCAGGCGACUGUUUAGCAAAAACAUAGGUCUCUGCAAACUCGAAAGAGGAGGUAUAGGGGCUGACGCCUGCCCAGUGCCGGAAGGUUAAAGAAGUUGGUCAGUUUUAGGAUGAAGCUAGCGACUGAAGCCCCGGUGAACGGCGGCCGUAACUAUAACGGUCCUAAGGUAGCGAAAUUCCUUGUCGGGUAAGUUCCGACCCGCACGAAAGGCGUAACGAUCUGGGCGCUGUCUCGGAGAGAGGCUCGGCGAAAUAGGAUUGUCUGUGAAGAUACGGACUACCUGCAUUUGGACAGAAAGACCCUAUGAAGCUUUACUAUAGCUUGGAAUUGUGUUCGGGCUUCCUGUGCGCAGGAUAGGUGGGAGGCGUAGAAGGUAUUCUUGUGGGGAUACUGGAGCCAACGGUGAGAUACCACUCUCAGGAGGCUAGAAUUCUAACUUAAUUAAGGACAGUUUCAGGUGGGUAGUUUGACUGGGGCGGUCGCCUCCAAAAAGGUAACGGAGGCGUACAAAGGUUCCCUCAGACUGGUUGGAAAUCAGUCGAAGAGUGCAAAGGCAGAAGGGAGCUUGACUGCGAGAAGUACAGUUCGAGCAGGGUGGAAACACGGUCUUAGUGAUCCGACGGUGCUGUGUGGAAGGGCCGUCGCUCAACGGAUAAAAGUUACUCUAGGAUAACAGGCUGAUCUCCCCCAAGAGUUCACAUCGACGGGGAGGUUUGGCACCUCGAUGUCGGCUCAUCGCAACCUGGGGCGGAAGUACGUCCCAAGGGUUGGGCUGUUCGCCCAUUAUAGCGGUACGUGAGCUGGGUUCAGAACGUCGUGAGACAGUUCGGUCCAUAUCCGAUGUAGGCGUGAGAAUAUUGAGAGGAGCCUUCCUUAGUACGAGAGGACCGGGAAGGACGCACCGCUGGUGUACCUGUUAUGAUGCCAAUUGUAAACGCAGGGUAGCCAAGUGCGGAGAGGAUAACCGCUGAAAGCAUCUAAGUGGGAAGCCCACCUCAAGAUGAGUAUUCUGGUGUAAGGUCACGGGAAGACGACCCGUAAAUAGGCACGAGGUGGAAGUGCAGAGAUGUAUGAAGCCGAAGUGUACUAAUAGACCGUCGGCUUGACCG